GAAUAUUGGACAAUGGGCGCAAGCCUGAUCCAGCAACGCCGCGUGGAGGAAGAAGGUCUUCGGAUCGUAAACUCCUGUCAGGGGGGACGAAGGACCGUCGGUGAAUAGCCGCCGGUCUUGACGGUACCUCCAGAGGAAGCCCCGGCUAACUCCGUGCCAGCAGCCGCGGUAAUACGGAGGGGGCGAGCGUUAUUCGGAAUUAUUGGGCGUAAAGGGCGCGUAGGCGGCUUCGCAAGUCAAAGGUGAAAUCCCUCGGCUCAACCGAGGAAUUGCCUCUGAAACUGCGUGGCUUGAGGCCGGGAGGGGGCGGUGGAAUUCCCAGUGUAGCGGUGAAAUGCGUAGAGAUUGGGAGGAACACCAGUGGCGAAGGCGGCCGCCUGGACCGGUUCUGACGCUGAUGCGCGAAAGCGUGGGUAGCAAACAGG
rnacentral:rRNA from 1 species